AGUGAACGCUGGCGGCGUGCUUAACACAUGCAAGUCGAACGAGAACGGGAUAUAGCUUGCUAUAUUUGUCAGCUAAGUGGCGCACGGGUGAGUAAUGUAUAGGUAAUAUGCCUCUUACUAAGGGAUAACAAUUGGAAACGAUUGCUAAUACCUUAUAUGCCUUUAAGACUAAAGUCUGCAAGGGAAAGAUUUAUUGGUAAGAGAUUAGCCUGUAUUGUAUCAGCUAGUUGGUGAGGUAAUGGCUCACCAAGGCUAUGACGCAUAACUGGUUUGAGAGGAUGAUCAGUCACACUGGAACUGAGACACGGUCCAGACUCCUACGGGAGGCAGCAGUGGGGAAUAUUGCACAAUGGACGAAAGUCUGAUGCAGCAACGCCGCGUGGAGGAUGACACAUUUCGGUGCGUAAACUCCUUUUAUAUAGGAAGAUAAUGACGGUACUAUAUGAAUAAGCACCGGCUAACUCCGUGCCAGCCGCCGCCGUAA
rnacentral:rRNA from 1 species